rnacentral:misc_RNA from 1 species
AAGUCGUAACAAGGUUUCCGUAGGUGAACCUGCGGAAGGAUCAUUAUCGAGUUUUUGAACGGGUUGUCUGCUGACUCGCAAGAGUAUGUGCACGCCUAGCUCAUCCACACUCAACUUCUGUGCACUUUUCAUAGGCCGGCUUGUAGGUGGUGCGUUCGCGCACGCCAGGUGGUGAGCUCGCGCACGCCUGUAGGCUUAGGCUUAUGCUUUACUACAAACGAUUCAGUUAUAGAAUGUCUUACUUUGCGAUAACGCAAUUAUAUACAACUUUCAGCAACGGAUCUCUUGGCUCUC